rnacentral:lncRNA from 10 species
CAUCUGGCCACUCUCUGCUGGAGCUUGUCUACCUGCAGUGCACAAAGGCACAAGGAUCGUCAGAGCGAGUCCCGCAAGGUGGAGGUGUUUUCCUCGGAAACCCCGAACAAGUUUCUGUUUCCUCACAUGCAAAAUGGUAUUAAGUCUCUACUAUACCGCAGAGUCAUUGUGAGGAUCGACGGGCGUAAUGAAUGUGAGCACGUAGAAGUACUCUACAUUCACCAUUAAAAUGA